GGCCCUAUGGUCAAGUGGUUAAGACACUGCCCUUUCACGGCAGUAACUCGGGUUCGAGUCCCGAUAGGGUCACCA
rnacentral:tRNA from 1 species